rnacentral:SRP_RNA from 2 species
GCUGGGUGUGGUGGUGUGCACCUGUAGUCCCAGCUACUCAGGAGGCUGAGGCAGUAGAAUUGCUUGAACCCGGGAGGUGGAGGUUGCAGUGAGCUGAUAUUGUGCCACUGCCCUCCAGCCUGGGUGACAGAGCGAGACCCUGUCUCAA